UACGAAGGGAGCUAGCGUUGUUCGGAAUCACUGGGCGUAAAGCGCACGUAGGCGGAUGUGUCAGUCAGGGGUGAAAUCCCGGAGCUCAACUUCGGAACUGCCUCUGAUACAGCACGUCUUGAGUCCGAUAGAGGUGGGUGGAAUUCCUAGUGUAGAGGUGAAGUUCGUAGAUAUUCGGAAGAACACCAGUGGCGAAGGCGGCUCACUGGUCCGGUACUGACGCUGAGGUGCGAAAGCGUGGGGAGCAAACAGG
rnacentral:rRNA from 1 species